rnacentral:rRNA from 1 species
AUGGCUCAGGAUGAACGCUGGCGGCGUGCCUAACACAUGCAAGUCGAACGAAGCACUGCGGAUGGAGAUUCGUCAAAAUCUGCUUUGACUUAGUGGCGGACGGGUGAGUAAUGUGUGAGCAACCUGCCUUUCAGAGGGGGACAACAGUUGGAAACGACUGCUAAUACCGCAUAAUGUAUUGGAGGGGCAUCCUUUUAAUACCAAAGGAGCAAUCCGCUGAAAGAUGGGCUCACAUCUGAUUAGCUAGUUGGUGGGGUAACGGCCUACCAAGGCUGCGAUCAGUAGCCGGACUGAGAGGUUGAACGGCCACAUUGGGACUGAGAUACGGCCCAGACUCCUACGGGAGGCAGCAGUGGGGAAUAUUGGGCAAUGGGCGAAAGCCUGACCCAAGCAACGCCGCGUGAAGGAAGAAGGUCUUCGGAUUGUAAACUUCUUUUAUGAGGGACGAAGGACGUGACGGUACCUCAUGAAUAAGCCACGGCUAACUACGUGCCAGCAGCAGC